ACGGAGGGGGCAAGCGUUAUUCGGAAUUAUUGGGCGUAAAGCGCGCGCAGGCGGCUUGACAAGUCAUAGGUGAAAUCCCUCGGCUCAACCGAGGAACUGCCUAUGAAACUGUCUGGCUUGAGGUCGGGAGGGGGUGGCGGAAUUCCCAGUGUAGCGGUGAAAUGCGUAGAUACUGGGAGGAACACCGGUGGCGAAGGCGGCCACCUGGACCGAUACUGACGCUGAGGCGCGAAAGCGUGGGGAGCAAACAGG
rnacentral:rRNA from 1 species